UGGAGGUGGCUACUUGCUGUUGGUGACAGUAUUUUGCUGCCACCGAAGAAUCCAGACCGCGUCGCUGGCCCAGUAAUCCAUUGCUCGACUUGAUUAACCACAGGAAGACAUUAAGUGAAUGUAAGGACCGGAACAGCCUGGAAACCAUGUGACGAGCAGCCUUUAAGUUCUGGGCUCUGGUAUAUUUUAUGCCACCUCAACUGUGCAUCAAGCUCUCCUUCCUGAACUCAUUAGAACCGUGUGCCCAAAGGUACCCCUCAACUUUCAGAAGCAAAUAGAGAAUGAUAUAAUUCGCUCUGAGAACACCUUUCUGUCUCAUCCGGAGCAUGUCUUAUCUAUUAUGAUUAGGCAUUAGGCAUCCUAUUGUCCUGAAAAUUUCAUGAGAUUCUCCCCCUGCUUGCUAGGAUUAUGUCAAAGUGACUUGUCCCGGAUGCGUUUUCACCCAUCAAUACAGCUCGUCUCCUCUCCUUAACCAUUGCUGGGGAGGCCAACAGGGCGAAGGAGCCCACGGGCUUACAAUGGUCGAAGAGUUCAAGGCGGUUGCAAAUCCUCUCUUGAGAAGGCUUGCGUGUCUUGCUUCUGGUUUCCCGAGAAGCAGACCCUGAGAUAAAGAUUUGAAAGCAAGUAGUUUGUUUGGGACGUGAUGUUAGAAAACUCUAGUAAGAAAGUAGGGAAGUGAGCACGGUAAGGGAAAGCUAUCAACAUGCGGUGUGUUAUCCAGCAGGCGAUCUCUGUGGGUGAUGGAAUGAAUCCUGCUGGGUGAUGCUGGGAGUCAGUGGACCUUACGCGCUUCUGAGAUAUCCCUCCUGAAGAGCGAGAGAGCUGCGAGCUGGGGUACUUAUCCAUCAGCACCUGCCAGUCAUCGGAUGGGGGCCGCUCUCAGCCUUCUCUGCAGGCCAAGAGCCCCAGAUAACACCUCUUGGAGUUUGUCUCCCAUGAUCAACCAUGAUGUUUUUGUACUAUUGACCCUUGCCCCAGCUUACCGGGUAGACCCUGACUGGCUAAAGCCAAUAAUCUUAUCCCAUCAUAUGCCAUGAUUUGGUCCAUAUGACAGAAACCCAGUCAGAACCUGUGGAGAAGUUUUCCAGGACUUCUAUCAUCUGCAUAGCGUGAAGAUACAAAGAUAUGAACAGCCUGUUUACUACUAAAGUGGAGGACCAUGGAACUGCCAAUGGGAACCCAUCUGAGGCCUGAGGAAGUAGCUGAUUCUGUGCAAGGCAGAAAGGAAAUGUGAAAGGAAACAAAGCUGGUCCUUGGUAACACUGGAGCAAACUGAACCUGAAGCUAGUCUUGUCCCCAGCCUUUUCAGUGAUGUAAGUUUAUACACGACCUUCUUCAAACCAGUUUGAGUUGGAUUUCCUGUCAUUUUUCAAUGGAAAGGCUUUUAACUCAAAUUUUGGUUUUGUCAAAUUGAUGAUGACACGUUAAUGCCUUUUCAAUGAGUUAUGCUGGGAGAAUGGGGUCAUGCUGUGGGUUUCUCCUUCACUAUUUUGUUUGGUGUGUUGUUUUCAAAUGGAUACCUUACCUUCUUAAAUCAUUUUCCUACUAGUCUCCUUGUCCACACUUUACAACACGCAUCAAGUACCACCUUCCCUAGGAAUUAAUUACUGAGCAAGACUUAUAAACACUGGUAUUUUAGCUCUGGUGAGGCUGCCCCAAGUAGUAGUUAAGAACAUGUGUUACACAACACAGGCAUGAUUUUGAACCCUGGCUCUAUAAUUCACUAGCUAUGUGACUUCGGACAAUUUACCUAAACUCCCUAAAUUCCCCUUUACCCAACCCUUAAAAAUACUGUUAAUAAUAGCAUCUUGGCUUAGACAACUUUUGUGAAGAUAGAAUGAAAUAAUUCAUGUACAACAUUUAUCAUGAUGCUUGACACAGAAUAAGUGCUCAAUAAAUGUUGCUGCUGUGAUUAUUAGUGUUAUUAU
rnacentral:lncRNA from 12 species